UGGGGAAUAUUGGACAAUGGGCGAAAGCCUGAUCCAGCUAUGCCGCGUGUGUGAAGAAGGUCUUCGGAUUGUAAAGCACUUUAAGUUGGGAGGAAGGGCAGUAAGCGAAUACCUUGCUGUUUUGACGUUACCGACAGAAUAAGCACCGGCUAACUCUGUGCCAGCAGCCGCGGUAAUACAGAGGGUGCAAGCGUUAAUCGGAAUUACUGGGCGUAAAGCGCGCGUAGGUGGUUCGUUAAGUUGAAUGUGAAAGCCCCGGGCUCAACCUGGGAACUGCAUACAAAACUGGCGAGCUAGAGUAGGGCAGAGGGGGGUGGAAAUUCCUGUGUAGCGGUGAAAUGCGUAGAUAUAGGAAGGAGCACCAGUGGCGAAGGCGACCACCUGGGCUCAUACUGACACUGAGGUGCGAAAGCGUGGGGAGCAAACAGG
rnacentral:rRNA from 1 species